AUGGUGUGUAGGGGACCUGACCGGAAAUGGGAAUUUGGGGGUGGGCAGGGCAUCCCCACUCAAAGGGCGAAGUGACUAUUCUGUUAGAGAAUAAAGCCUUGGCCUUUAUAGCUUUUUCAAGGCACACUUGUGUUGGGUCUGCUGGCAUAUGGAUGUGUUCUCACUGUAGCUGUUUUGCUGUUACUGCAGAAGUCUGGACUCUCGGGAGCAAGCCUGAGGAAGCGGUCACUUGUCUUCCUUGCCUAAGAGCUGGGGGUGUUAUAUAUAUGGACCUGCAAAUCACUGCUUUAUUGGGUUUUCACCUAACUGCUCUCAUCUGCUGGCUCUUUAUUUCCCCCAUGAAAUCUUCGGUUAAUUAAAGAUCUUAAACUUUCAAAGCUGGAAGGAACCUAGUCCAGCUCCCUCCGUGUAUAAGUAGAAAAACAAUUGUGGCUGUGAGAAAUUGUGGCUUUUCCAGGGCCUCCCAGCCAGGAUACCAGUUUGAUUUUUAUUAUAUAGCUAACUGAGUAAUACUGUUACUUCGACUUUGGGGAUUUCAAAGCAUUCUAUGACUCGACUGUUUAAGAGAAUUGUAAGGCCUCACUGCACCUCAAUAGAUAAUUUUAGGAACCAUCCUGGUAGUUACAGACCAGCCGUAAGUAAAAGACUUGGUUUGUGUUGCCCUUCCUCUGCGUUUGAUUACACAGGUAAUUGUGUGAAUAGUCUCUCUAAGCUGUACACACUAGGCUUUUUUUAGCGUAAAGAUGAAAGUGCUACUUUUGGGCCAGCGAGAUAUCCAAGAUUAGCUAAUAUGGGCCAGUUUAGGUUUUAACAAGGAAAUGAUGGUUAUCUUAAUGAUAAAAAUGUGAUGACAAAAGUCCUUUUUUGAACAUGUGUUCAAGAGCAAAAGAGAAACUGUCAAACUAAUAACUCAGCUUGUUGAACAUUGCAAUUUACUGAUCCGAGAGGCUUUUAAAAAGUGAUUGCUCUGAGUCAGACUUGUGUAUUUUGGAGGUUGGCUUUGGAUCCCCCAGGGCACUUGGUUUCCAUUGAUGCUGCUUUUUUCUCUUAGGGUGACAGCCCCAUUUACAUGAUGUUACAGCAACUUGUUGCAGCUUCAGCUGCUUGAAAACGAAGGGAGACUUUGCCUCUGGAUUUCACGUGUUCUUUUGAGGAUGAGAUAUUAAUGUUGCGUGUUCUCUUGAACAUGCAUUCUAUCCCUGAGUGUUUCUGUAUGACAUGGUAUAAGAAAUACUUACCAGAGAUCAUCACUAAUGAUAUGCUUUAUAGUGUCAAAAGUGUCCUUCAGAAGUGACAGGACCUGUGAUAGUGUCGAUUCUAACGCAUGAAUCUUUCCUUUAUUUUAGCACCGUGUUUUAUGUGCCAGUAAUUUGCAGUUUAUCCUUUGUUUCUAGCUAGGCUCCAUAAAAAUACAGACUCACCAGUUCCUGCUUUGAUGUGACAUGUGACUCCCCAGAAUACAUCUUGCUUCUGUAGACCAGCUCCAACAGGAUUCCAUGGUAGCUGGAAUGUUAGGGCUCAGAUGUGUUGCUUGAAGUACCCAUGAAAGUGGUCUUUGUAGUUUUCCGCCUGACUGGACGAAGCCUCAGGAACUGAUUCCUGAGAGGAGGCUGACACUGCCCACCCCAGCUUCCAGGCCUGACUCUGCCUUUGGGCCCUUAGUGACCCCUACAGACAUCUGGUGCAACCCCUGUAGCCAGAAAGAACAAUGGUUUUCUCACAUGUUGCUCUUUCCCUAGUGGGUUAUGAGCUUCUGGAACAGAGACCCCAUGUAACUUCUGAGGGCCUUCCCCUGCCAUAGUAUGGCAUCUGGCAUGAGUGGCUGAUGGAGUUUCUCCUGGGACCAGUAAGGGGCAGGGUUUCUGGCUCACGACAUGACUUUCCCACACACCUCCACUAUCUGGACCUGGUUCUUCCAGGUUCACUCAGCAGGCUUGAGCCACUUGUCUCCCUCCUUGGCAGAUGUAGUUAGGAAGAGCAAAAUGCUCUGGCCAGUUAAGCGAACUUUCUGAGUCUCAGCAGUUCAAACAGUGUUUUGUUUUGUUCUGGUCAGGUUAUGACACCCAUACUGUGAAGGAAAGGAAAGCAAUCUGGUAUUGUAGGAGGUGGUGUGUUGUGUUGUUAAUUGUUUUAUUUUUAAGUUUUACAUAUUUUUGCAGUGAGGCAAGUUUUCUUUGAAUAAAUAAUGCUGGGAGCUUAUCACAUAGAAGGCAUUUGUGUUGUCCUCAGUACAUUCUGAAUUAUAUAGGUUUAUUUUUGUCUCUUGUAUUCACUUAUAAACAACUCAAAGGCUGCAUUUUUAGCCAACAGAAAUAGGAAGAAAGAAUUUCAGAAUUUAUUUUGUCAUUUUUCAGUAGCUUGAGUUAUAGUGAUUGUGAUAACUUAGUGAAAAAAACUGUGUAGUGAGUAAAGCUUACAUAUGGUUUAUCAUGAACAUUUUGUUGUGCCUUUUUUUUUUGCUUCUAAGCACCUUGAUAU